ensembl:lncRNA
GGUAUUCGCGUGCGCAAGUUGAGGGUUUCAUCACACGGAAGUUGAUCUAAAGUUGGUUGGAAAAUCGACAGACGCAAGUCUGUAAUACGGUUUUUGAAUGUCGAAUUACCAAUGUUUGAUAUAAAACCAACGUAACCACGGUGACCCUGACCACGUCGUCAAACCGAAACUGGAUGUGUUUGUGAAGGCUUGGGACUGACGGCAUAGCUAUUAUUUUGUUCCCACCGACCAAUACUGCCAUCCAAGAGGAGAAAGGCAACCAACACCAGAGGAACAAUUUAUCAUGAGUCACAGUCUGAACAUGGAAGGUACUGCUAAACAACAGCAGGAACACAAUAAUGACUGUCAGACGAACAAGACAGAACACUGGCUACUCAAAUUCGCUGAAAUGGUAGGACAGAGUAUCUGUCAGAAGCACAAAGACGAACUGGACCUCUGGAGGCCAACCUGUUUUUUUUGCGCUUGUCAAGAAGAUGAGCUAUUUCCCAAGCUAAUGCAGGUGUUUCUGAAGAAAAAAAUAACACCGUCUGGGGAAAAAGAUGGUGACGAGAGACAUUCUGAUGACAAGGAACCCUCCACUGCCUCUACCUCUCAAGAUAUCAUCAUGCAGAAUUUAAGCCUUGGCCAGAAAAGAAGUCUGCCUAAUGAGAAUGAUGGUGAAGUCCAAUCCACCGCCUCCGCCUCUGAAGUUCUUAGUAAGCAGAAUUUAAGCCUUGGCCAGAAAAGAAGUCGACCUAAUGAGGAUGAUGGUGAAGUCCACUCCACCGCCACCACCUCCACCUCUGAAGAUUCAUGGGUUCAUGUGGCCCGGUCAGAUUGUGAUGAAAUGCCUUCUGAAGACAAGCAAUACUCCACCACCUCUAACUCUGAAGGGCCUUCAGCGAAGACAUAUUACACUCUUGCUCCUGGAAAGUCGGCAGAAUACUCUAAGGAUAUCAAAACAUGGCUCAAACACCUGUCUGAAGUGAAAUCGAUACAGAGUUGUGAUAUGAUCCUGGCUACCUGCAUGGUUGUGUCUCGUGUUGGAACAGAUGUUGAAGCAGCACUGAAAGACAUCCCUGAAGCCAAGCCGACCAUUCUGGUGGUUAUGCACCAUACCUUUGAUCCUGAUUGUGUACUACCAGACAGCAGUAGGUUUACCAAAAGGGAGGACAUGCUCAUUGUGGACUGUCUGUUUAAUGAGGAUAAUGGAUUAUUGAGAUGUGAAAGAAAUGGCAUUGCACAAUCUACAAUGCUGAAAUGGAUCAACGCAAAGGUGUCCAUUAAAGAAACACCAUGGACUGUUUCCUCAUUCUUUGGUUGGUCCUGAUGUCUAUGAAGUGAUUUGAAGUCGGGCCUUGGAGGAUCCCAUGAUCAUCUUCUUAUGUUGUUUUUAUUGAAAUUGUUAAAAUAUUAAGAAGUGGAACAGAUGAAUAGCUACACAAAGCAUGACCCAGAGCGGUAACACUUUCUAUGCAGGCCAUGUCUAAUGAUUUAGGCAUAAAUUCAUAAUGCAAUUAUAUAAUGCUAUGCAAUAUAAUAUAAUGCAAUCAUAAGGUAUUGUAAUAAGUACAAACAAGCAUUAGACUCUAUAGCAAUGUCACUGUGCUGAUGCAUUUGAACAAUUUAUGAUUAGAGACUGCACAAGAUGGAAUAAUAGUUAGUUAUAGUUAUUUUUAAUGUAACAUAGCAUGUCUCUGCUAGCUUUAAGUGUAGUAUGAAAAUGUCCUUACCAGUAUUAAAUAGAAUAGGCAGGCAUAAGAUAAUAUAGACAAAAAAUAAAGUGAGACAUUUUGCUCAGGAGCAAAAAAAAAGCACAUUUUAUUCAUGUAACAUCAAUUUCAACAUUCUUUGUGCAGAAAAUAAAAACCAGUGCAUCCAAAUUACUUGCAUCUGUCUUAUUAAUGUAAUGUCAAUUUCAAUACACCCUAAAGCAACUGUUUGUUUUUUAUUUUAAAUUAUUUUCACACAUUGUGCUAUUGCUAUCCAUUAUGUUUACACAGGGUCUAGGUUCAACUUGAAACUGCAUUUCAAUAGUUCAAGCAUUUUUUUUAUAAAGCUAGCUCAUCACUGUAACAGCACCUUAAUGGCCAACAGAAAAAUACUGAAAGCAAUUGAGGUUUUAGUUAGAAAUUGGCCGUAGAUUACAGCAAUUUAAAUUACACUCUUUUCGCAAGAAGCAAAAAAGAUUCAGUUUUUCCGUGCAACUGUCGGUUACUACAACACCUAUGGAAAGUGGGUAAAGUUAUUAAGAUUAAAGACUCUUCCCAACGACAUUAGGUGGUUAUGCUCCUCUCAUUGCUUGUACUCACUGGCAAAUUAGCUAAUACAUCGAUCCUGAGAGCUUUUUUACAUCUUUUUUUUUAAAUACCUUAACUGUUAAUGGUGAGCAAGAACUUGGAGCUAAAUGCUGAUUGGCAGUCAAUGUGACAACAGAAUGAUUAGAAAUGUAAUAACACAGUAUUUCAUCAUGGUUGUUGAGCCUUUGUAUGCUAAUUAAAAUUCAAGUUAGAUUAUUUUGAUUCAAACAGAAAGGUCAAUACUUUUAUAAUACAGUUUUUCUCAGUUGCUUUGGUCAAUUUCUCAGAUCAGAAGCGAAAUUCUCAAAAAUCAUCUAGUCACUUUUGCACAUCAAACAUCAAUUUCUCAUUGUUUUGCACAUUUUGAAAAUACUUUUGCGCUACAAAAAAUCUACGUAUGUAUUCAGUGUCUACAUCAUGACAUGCAAAUGGUUUAAACCAGUUAUCAUUAUGUGUCAACUAUAUGCUUUAUCAGUUUCGGUGGCAUUGUGUUUUUGGUAUGGUACAGAUUAUUUAUUUAUUAUUGUGUUUCUUUUCUCCCUCAGGUUGACCUAGAAAGAGGCUGACCUGGUAACCAUAGCAACAACCAUAGCAAUGUAUUUAUACUUGAGAAAAGUAUUGACGACCUGUGCUGCAUUAACUGCCCCAGACAAUAUUGUUGCCCUCCUCCAACCUCAGCAGCUGGAGUGCAGAGGGCUGCUCAACCUGGGGCAGACCUGCUACCUAAACGCCACACUGCAGUGUCUGCUCCACCUGCAGCCUCUCUGCACUCAGCUGCUGGUGCAGGAGGAGGUGUGGAGGAUGGCGCCAGAGGCACUGCUGCUCAGGACUGGUACUCCUCAGAGGGUCCUGUGAAAUGGACAUGAAGGCAGCUGUACUACUGGAGUUCAAGGACCAAAUCUCCCUGCACAACCAGGAGUUUGAGGGGAACUCACAGAACGACGCCAAUGAGUUCCUCACAGAAUGUCUACUGCUGCUAAGGGUCAUCGGCCAGGCUCUGUUCUCCUUCCAGCUCCAGUAUAUAAGAACUUGCCAGAGCUGUGGAGUUGAGAGCAUGAGGGAUGAGGUUAACACCAUGCUCUCCCUCGACCUGGUUGUACAGGGAUCGAUAAGAGACAGCCUCCAGCUCUUUUUCACUGGUGUUGAUCCUCCACCUCAAGAGGUUCUGUCCCCUGACCCUCGCCAAACAACACCAGGCGCUUACACUGGACUCCAUUCUGGACCUGAGGACACUAGGGGAAAGGCCACUAUAUAGCCGACUGUGGGGAACAGCCAGACCAGUGGGUCACAUACAGUGACCACUCUGUCACAGUGAGAUCUGAGGAGGCCGUCCUCAAUAACAGGGAGAGGAUAGCCUACAUUCUUCUUUAUAUCAAAAAGGUAAUUUACACCAUCAGCCACA